rnacentral:rRNA from 1 species
GACGUAGGGUGCGAGCGUUUGUCCGGAUUUAUUGGGCGUAAAGAGCUCGUAGGCGGCUCGUCGCGUCGACCGUGAAAACCCGCGGCUUAACUGCGGGCUUGCGGUUGAUACGGGCGGGCUAGAGUUCGGUAGGGGGAGACUGGAAUUCCUGGUGUAGCGGUGAAAUGCGUAGAUAUUGGGAGGAACACCGGUGGCGAAGGCGGCUACCUGGACCGGUACUGACGCUGAGGCGCGAAAGCUAGGGUAGCAAACAGG